rnacentral:rRNA from 1 species
AGAGUUUGAUCCUGGCUCAGGACGAACGCUGGCGGCGUGCCUAACACAUGCAAGUCGAACGGAGUUGAAAGGAGCUUGCUUUUUUCAACUCAGUGGCGGACGGGUGAGUAACGCGUGAGUAACCUGCCUUUCAGAGGGGGAUAACGUUCUGAAAAGAACGCUAAUACCGCAUAAGAUUGUAGUUUCGCAUGGAGCAGCAAUCAAAGGAGCAAUCCGCUGAAAGAUGGACUCGCGUCCGAUUAGAUAGUUGGCGGGGUAACGGCCCACCAAGUCGACGAUCGGUAGCCGGACUGAGAGGUUGAUCGGCCACAUUGGGACUGAGACACGGCCCAGACUCCUACGGGAGGCAGCAGUGGGGAAUAUUGGGCAAUGGGGGAAACCCUGACCCAGCAACGCCGCGUGAGGGAUGACGGUUUUCGGAUUGUAAACCUCUGUCCUCUGUGAAGAUAGUGACGGUAGCAGAGGAGGAAGCUCCGGCUAACUACGUGCCAGCAGCCGCGGUAAUACGUAGGGAGCAAGCGUUGUCCGGAUUUACUGGGUGUAAAGGGUGCGUAGGCGGAUUGGCAAGUCAGAAGUGAAAUCCAUGGGCUUAACCCAUGAACUGCUUUUGAAACUGUUAGUCUUGAGUGAAGUAGAGGUAGGCGGAAUUCCCGGUGUAGCGGUGAAAUGCGUAGAGAUCGGGAGGAACACCAGUGGCGAAGGCGGCCUACUGGGCUUUAACUGACGCUGAGGCACGAAAGUGUGGGUAGCAAACAGGAUUAGAUACCCUGGUAGUCCACACUGUAAACG